rnacentral:rRNA from 1 species
AGUGAACGCUGGCGGUAGGCCUAACACAUGCAAGUCGAACGGCAGCACAGUAAGAGCUUGCUCGUACGGGUGGCGAGUGUCGGACGUGGGGGGAAUACAUCGGAAUCUACUUUUUCGUGGGGGAUAACGUAGGGAAACUUACGCUAAUACCGCAUACGACCUCCGGGUGAAAGCAAGGGAUCUUCGGACCUUGCGCGAUUGAAUGAGCCGGUGUCGGAUUAGCUAGUUGGCGGGCUCAAGGCGCACCAAGGCGACGAUCCGUAGCGGCUCUGAGAGGAUGGACAGCCACACUGGAACUGAGACACGGUCCAGACUCCUACGGGAGGCAGCAGUGGGGAAUAUUGGACAAUGGGCGCAAGCGUGAUCCAGCCAUACCGAGUGGGUGAAGAAGGCCUUCGGGUUGUAAAGCCCUUUUGUUGGGAAAGAAAAGCAGCAGGUUAAUACCCCGCUGUUCUGACGGUACCCAAAUAAUAAGCACCGGCUAACUUCGUG